rnacentral:rRNA from 1 species
AGUCGAACGAAGCACUUCUCUCUGAUCGCUUCGGUGUGAAGAGAAUUGUGACUUAGUGGCGAACGGGUGAGUAACACGUGAGUGACCUGCCCCGAAGUGCGGCAUAACAGGGGGAAACCCUUGCUAAUUCCGCAUGUGCUCCCACCUUCUGAGGUGUGAGUAAAGAUUUAUCGCUUCGGGAUGGGCUCGCGGUCCAUCAGCUAGUUGGUAGGGUAAAGGCCUACCAAGGCUACGACGGAUAGCCGGCCUGAGAGGGUGUACGGCCACAGGGGCACUGAGAUACGGGCCCCACUCCUACGGGAGGCAGCAGUUAGGAAUCUUCGGCAAUGGGCGCAAGCCUGACCGAGCGACGCCGCGUGAAGGAUGAAGGCCCUCGGGUCGUAAACUUCUAAAAGAGGGACGAUAGUGACGGUACCUCUUGAAAAGCACCGGCUAACUCCGUGCCAGCAGCCGCGGUAAUACGGAGGGUGCUAGCGUUAUCCGGAAUCACUGGGCGUAAAGGGCGCGUAGGCGGUCUGUUAAGUCCGAUGUUAAAGACUGGGGCUCAACCCCAGCAUUGCGUUGGAUACUGGCAGGCUUGACGGUUGGAGAGGCGAGUGGAAUUACCAGUGUAGCGGUGAAAUGCGUAGAUACUGGUAGGAACACCCAUUGCGAAGGCAGCUCGCUGGACAACACGUGACGCUGAGGCGCGAAAGUGUGGGGAGCAAACCGGAUUAGAUACCCGGGUAGUCCACACCCUAAACGAUGCACACUUGGUGUUGGCCCGUUGGGGUCAGCGCCGGAGCUAACGCGUUAAGUGUGCCGCCUGGGAAGUACGGCCGCAAGGUUGAAA